UUAAAACACAUAUUUUCAUGUUUUACCACCGCUUCAUAAUGCCAGGGUUGCCGUGGGUCUCGUUUCCCUGAAAUCAAUGCAGUAAAACACCCAGGACAAGAUGCCAAUUAUUAAUUUUUUUUUUCUUUGUGUCCAAUUUUCUCCCCUAAUCUAGUCGUGUCCAAUUACCCUGGUUGCGUUACGCUUCACCUCUACCGAUACAACCCUGCACUGCUGACUGACACGUGUGCAGUACCGACUGCAUCUUUUCACCUGCACGGGGUGAGUUCAUAAGCGGAUCAGCCUUGUGCACGGAAAGCCACACCCUGAUCAGCAUUAUUCCUCGACUCUGUGCAGACGGCAUCCAUCAGCCAGCAGAGGAUGAGGAACCUUGGUCCGGCUUAUCACACAGCCCUACUUGCUCCUGGAGGACACCCACACAGACACGGGAGAACAUGCAAACUCCCGACAGAAAGGACCCGGGUUGCCCCACCUGGGGAUCAAACCCAGGCUACCCACUGAGCCACAGUGCUGCCCUAAGCUAUCUAGGUUUUUAACAGUAUUCAUGGCGGAGACAAGAUCAAGGACUCACCCGUGGCUGCUGGUGGAGGUUGGGGUCUCUCUAUUUCUGGGGUGGGUCGUGCAGGUUCCUGUGCAGGCUGCUCUGGUUCAGCAGGAAUACCCUAAAGAUCACACGUAACGAACCAGCAUUAACUACUUCAGCAGUCUGAGCUGUUGGAUCGGACCACACGGGCCAGCCUUCGCUCCCCACUUGCAUCAGUGAGCCAUGGCCGCCCAUGACCCUGUCGCCGGUUUACCACUGUUCCUGAUACUGACCACUGCAGACCGGGAACACCCCACAAGAGCUGCAGUUUUGGAGAUGCUCUGACCCGGUCGUCUAGCCAUCACAAUCUGGCCCUCGUCAAACUGGCUCAGAUCCUCACGCUCGCCCAUUUUUCCUGCUUCCAACAUCAACUUUGAGGAUAAAAUGUUCACUUGCUGCCUAAUAUACCCCCCCCCCACUAACAGGUGCCGUGAUGAAGAGAUAAUCAGUGUUAUUCACUUCACCUGUCAGUGCUCAUAAUGUUAUGCCUGGUCGGUGUACAUGCACACACACCCCUUUAAAUCUGAGCUGGCAAAAGUCUGGUGCACAAUACAUGAAUUUAUAUGUAACCACCAACAUAUUACAGAAACAAAACAAAAAAGCAUUGACGGGAGAUUAGGAGUGCUUGGGAGACUCGGGAAACAGACGCUGGAUUAUGAACAAUCUAAAGCUGAAAUGACAAAAUGAAAUGAACAGUUAUCUUACCACUGGUUUAGCAUUCAUUUAGCUUAGUAGAUAUUGCUGUAGAUUGUGGAAUUAAGGACACGGCAGUUCUUCUCAGCUCUGGUAUAAAAUAAAUCAUGCUGGAUGCCC